UGUAAAAUGUUUGACAAACACUUUAGAGACACAGCUUCACCGCUCUGCCUGAAUGAACACCACGUUUCAUCUACGUUUCUUAUCUGAAGCCACAUGAGUGAGAACAGAGCAGACUGAGCUGAAAUCUUUGCCUCUCUUAAAGGUUGUUGGUGGAGGAUGGUCUAUGUUCCUGUGGGUGUAGCAGCGCUCUCCAUCAUCGUUGUGUCCGUCAGCAUGUGGACGAGAACAAAAGGUUAGCAGUGAUGAGGAUGAUGAUGAAGAUGGUGUGAGAACUCACUGUGUUCACAUUGAUCAGGUUUUGUUGUUGGUGUGUUUGUCAGCUCUGAUUUAUAAUAACAAUUUAUCCUUAAAUAUCUGAAUAUGUUGUAAAUAAGUUUAUACUCAAAGUUAAAUCUGUUUUUUCUUUCUAUAUUUCAUGUAAGUUGGUACAAACUAUUUUUAAAGAAGCAAUUAAAAAUCUUAGAUAAUAACCCGGAAAUAAAUUUUCAUGUAUCUUUACAUUGAAAAUGUUUAUCAAAAUAUUUGUUAACAAUCAUGGUUUGUGUUUCAUGGUUUCAGAAAUAACUAAAGAUAUUAAAGACCUGAAUAAUAAAUAUGAUCUAUAUUUUCCAUGAAGUUCCACAGGAACAGUCUAAUGAUGAAGUAAUGAUGAACUGCUGAGUAAUUAGUCUGUAUGAUGCUUCUCUUAACUGGAAGAGACAUCAGAAUAAAGUUGUGU